UUGACCUCGGAUCAGGUAGGGAUACCCGCUGAACUUAAGCAUAUCAAUAAGCGGAGGAAAAGAAACCAACCGGGAUUGCCUCAGUAACGGCGAGUGAAGCGGCAAGAGCUCAAAUUUGAAAGCUGGCUCCUUCGGAGUCCGCAUUGUAAUUUGCAGAGGAUGCUUUGGGUGCGGCCCCCGUCUAAGUGCCCUGGAACGGGCCGUCAGAGAGGGUGAGAAUCCCGUCUUGGGCGGGGUGUCCGUGCCCG
rnacentral:rRNA from 2 species